GGGGCUGUAGCUCAGUGGUAGAGUGCUUGUCUAGCACAUGUGAGCUAGGCUCUGAGUUCAAUCCUCAGCACCA
rnacentral:tRNA from 1 species